UACGUAGGGGGCUAGCGUUGUCCGGAAUCAUUGGGCGUAAAGCGCGCGUAGGCGGUCAGGUAAGUCCGGUGUGAAAGUCAAAGGCUCAACCUUUGAAUGCCGCUGGAUACUGCUUGACUUGAGUCCCGGAGAGGAAGAUGGAAUUCCCGGUGUAGCGGUGAAAUGUGUAGAGAUCGGGAGGAACACCGGUGGCGAAGGCGGUCUUCUGGGCCUUACCUGACGCUGAGGAGCGAAAGCGUGGGGAGCGAACAGG
rnacentral:rRNA from 1 species